rnacentral:lncRNA from 1 species
UAGUCGGCGGCUCCUUCACAGCGCCCAAGGUGCGGAGCCGACUCCCAGUUCGCGCACCGCAGCGGCAGCCAGCCUGCAUAACCGAUAAAUUACACUGCGGGUGCUCAAAAUUACGGGGCCUCUGCGGCGGGGAGCAAGCUCGCGCAAUUGGUGGCCCAGAACACCCUCUCGCCCUCUGGUCGCAGGUCGCAGCCAUGUCGCUCAGCAUGCGGAGCUCCAUUGUGGGCCAGUCUCUGGCCUUCAAGCCUGCCACCGCGCAGGUUCGCGUUGCGCGCGUGCUCACCGUGGACGCCAAGAAGGUCUGCGACCUGACUGGCAAGAAGCGCAACAAGGCCAACUCGGUCUGCUUCUCUAACAAGAAGAGCCGCAAGUGGCAGGAGCCCAACCUGCAGAACAAGAAGGUGUUCUGGGAGGAGGGCCAGCGCUGGGUGAAGCUCCGCAUUUGCACCAAGGCUAUCAAGACCCUGGAGAACAAGGGCAUCGCUACGAUGGCUGCUGAGGCCGGUAUCGAUCUGUGGAAGCUGCCUUUCGAGGACGCUCGCCCCCAGCGCAAGGCUUACCUGGCGGAGAACGCUGGCAAGGUGCCCGUGGGCUCCAACCCCCGCGCGAUGAAGAACGCGGAGAAGCUGGCUUCCUCCAAGAAGCAGCCCAAGUACCCCG